GGCCUGAACGCUGGCGGCGUGGCUAAGACAUGCAAGUCGUACGGGUGUAGCAAUACACCAGUGGCGAACGGGUGAGUAAUGUAUCGCUAACGUGCCCUCCAGUCCGGGAUAGCCGGGGGAAACUUCGGGUAAUACCGGUUGACAUCACGAGCAGGCAUCUGUUUGUGCUCAAAGGGAAACCGCUGGAGGAGCGGGCGAUAUCGUAUCAGCUAGUUGGCGGGGUAACGGCCCACCAAGGCGACGACGCGUAGCCGGACUGAGAGGUUGGCCGGCCACAUUGGGACUGAGACACUGCCCAGACUCCUACGGGGGCUGCAGUAACGAAUCUUCCGCAAUGCACGCAAGUGUGACGGAGCGACGCCGCGUGUGGGACGAAGCCCCUCGGGGUGUAAACCACUGUCAGGGGUAAGAAAGUUCUGAUCUACCCCAGAGAAAGGCACAGCUAACUCUGUGCCAGCAGCCGC
rnacentral:rRNA from 1 species